AUACGGAGGAUGCAAGCGUUAUCCGGAUUUAUUGGGUUUAAAGGGUGCGUAGGCGGAUGAUUAAGCGUGAGGUGAAAUGCCACUGCUCAACAGUGGAACUGCCUCGCGAACUGGUUGUCUUGAAUGCUCCUGCCGUGGGAGGAAUGUGUGGUGUAGCGGUGAAAUGCAUAGAGAUCACACAGAACACCGAUUGCGAAGGCAUCUCACGAAGGGGUGAUUGACGCUGAGGCACGAAAGCGUGGGGAUCAAACAGGAUUAGAUACCCUGGUAGUCCACGCAGUAAACGAUGAUAACUAACCGCUGGGUCGUAGUGAUUCAGUGGCCAAGCGAAAGCGAUAGGUUAUCACCUGGGGAGUACGACCGCAAGGUUGAAACUCAAAUGAAUUGACGGGG
rnacentral:rRNA from 1 species